ensembl:lncRNA
GCAGCAUCUUCAGUUGUGCAUGAAGAAUUGUGCAUACAGUAGCACGUUUGUAUGAAGGUGUGGUUAUUCUCAGGUAAAUUGUUAUGUGCUCUGGAGGUACAUUUGUUUCUUUUUGUCAAGAGCAAACCUUUUUUAUUUUCAAUCCAAAAUAAUUGUUCUGAAAGCAACUUUUUUCAAACACAAAGGAAGUCAAAGCGAACACCUAUGAAGAUGGCAUCUCAGGUAAGCAGCACUGGGCUGUAUUGACGGAUCCUAAAGAUGGCAUCUCAUCAGGUAAGCAGCACUGGGCUGUAUUGACGGAUCCUAAAGAUGGCAUCUCAGGUAAGCAGCACUGGGCUGUAUUGACGGAUCCUAAAGAUGGCAUCUCAUCAGGUAAGCAGCACUGGGCUGUAUUGACGGAUCCUAAAGAUGGCAUCUCAGGUAAGCAGCACUGGGCUGUAUUGACGGAUCCUAAAGAUGGC